rnacentral:lncRNA from 10 species
CUGCCACACCUCAGCGAGUGAGGCACUGACCCCACCUCCGGGCAGCACAUCGGCCCUGGGCUCCAAGGUCUAACAGGGAGCCCUAGGAAAGUCCUGCACUCCUGCACUCGGCACACACACCAAAGACAGACCUAGGACUGUGCUUCCACAUCUGCACCCACCAGUGCAGGAGCAUCAUCACUCCAGGUCCUUGGAUGGGUGACAUCAGCAUCUUCACCCCGAAGUAGAUUCCAUCUCAAGAAAUGACUUUUGUUGAUCUCUAAGAAGUGACUCCUCAUCCACUCAAGUUUCAUCAUGUGAUUGUAGCAAUUCAGUCGCAUCUUCAAGCUCCACUUUUUAUUUAUUUAUUUUUUGAGACAGAGUCUCGCUCUGUCGCCCACGCUGGAGUGCAGUGGCACAAUCUCGGCUCACUGCAAGCUCCGCCUCCCGGGUUCAUGCCAUUCUCCUGCCUUAGCCUCUGGAGUAGCUGGGACUACAGGCGCCCACCACAACACCCGGCUAAUUUUUAUAUUUUUUAGUAGAGACGGGGUUUCACCAUGUUAGCCAGGAUGGUUUCAAUCUCCUGACCUCAUGAUCUG